rnacentral:rRNA from 1 species
UGGGGAAUAUUGCACAAUGGGCGCAAGCCUGAUGCAGCGACGCCGCGUGAGGGAUGACGGCCUUCGGGUUGUAAACCUCUUUCAAUAGGGACGAAGCGCAAGUGACGGUACCUAUAGAAGAAGGACCGGCCAACUACGUGCCAGCAGCCGCGGUAAUACGUAGGGUCCGAGCGUUGUCCGGAAUUACUGGGCGUAAAGAGCUCGUAGGUGGUUUGUCGCGUUGUUCGUGAAAACUCACAGCUUAACUGUGGGCGUGCGGGCGAUACGGGCAGACUAGAGUACUGCAGGGGAGACUGGAAUUCCUGGUGUAGCGGUGGAAUGCGCAGAUAUCAGGAGGAACACCGGUGGCGAAGGCGGGUCUCUGGGCAGUAACUGACGCUGAGGAGCGAAAAGCGUGGGGAGCGAACAGGAUUAGAUACCCUGGUAGUCCACGCCGUAAAACGGUGGGUACUAGGUGUGGGUUUCCUUCCUUGGGAUCCGUGCCGUAGCUAACGCAUUAAGUACCCCGCCUGGGGAGUACGGCCGCAAGGCUAAAAACUCAAAUGAAUUGACGGGGUCAUAGCUGUUUCCU